CGUAGGUGGCAAGCGAUACUCGGAAUCACUAGGCGUAAAGCGCAGGUAGGCGGUUCGGUAAGUCUUUUGUGAAAGCUCCUGGCUCAACUGGGAGAGGUCAAGGGAAACUGCCGGGCUAGAGUUUGGUAGGGGAUACUGGAAUUCCUGGUGUAGCGGUGAAAUGCGUAGAUAUCAGGAGGAAUACCUAUGGCGAAAGCAGGUAUCUGGGCCACAACUGACGCUGAGCUGCGAAAGCUAGGGGAGCAAACAGGAUUAGAUACCCUGGUAGUCCUAGCCCUAAACGAUGCUCAUUAGAUGUGGGGGGUAUCGACCCCCUCCGCGUCGUAGCUAACGCAUUAAAUGAGCCGCCUGGGGAGUACGGCCGCAAGGUUG
rnacentral:rRNA from 1 species